GCCCGGGCCGGCGCGCGAGGGCGGGGCUGGGUCGCGAAGGGCCGUUCCGGGUCCGACCGGUGGGCCGGGUUCGGAUGGAGCCAGAGUGUCCGCGAGCGCCCCACGGACUCGAGGCAGCACAAAGUUGCAGCCAUGGAUCCCUUGAGGCGCCUCUGGGCGCAGGGAGAUGCUGCCUCCGCCGCCUGACAGCCUCCGAGUGUCCUGGUGCCUAUGCAGACCUGAGGUUCAUUUCCGUAGCAAGUUUGGUCCGUUUAGGAGUAUUUAUUUCAUGAGGUGUUUUUUCUUUAAUUGCCUCACCCCCCAAAAAUACUGGUUGCAGAACACCUGCCAGCAGCAGACUAUUUCUCCAUGCGUUGCGCGCUCCGGUAGGGCCGAGUCUCCUACGUUACUUGUGAUGCGUAGUCACCAAAAGCCUUCAUCUUUGAAAUACCACAGCUAAGCAAUGAAAAUAGUGAGCCCUUCCUUGACAAAGCCGCUUUAUUUUUGUCAUGACUCUGUCUUUUCCAGCAUGGAGAUGAUUUUUCUCUCCACCAAUUGGAUCUCUUCUUUUCUGGGAAAGACCAGAGAAUUGUGCCGUCCCUGCUGGGUUUUGUCUUCAGCCCUCGUUUCUGCGGCGGAGAGCAGUACAGCUUCAUAAGGCGGCUUUUCAGCAGAGAAGCCUGCGGUGUUGAACCAGUGCCACGGGGGGCGGGGGGGGGGAUUCUUCAAUAGAGCUCGUCUUCUUUCUCAAAAUUAAAGUGGUGACUUGCAGAAAAGCAUAUGUGUAUAAACGACACGUCCAUGUUCUGACAUUCUGUUCCUUUAGGGCUUUUAGUUCCUGUGCUUCUAUGGAGACUCAAGUUUUUUGUUGUUGUUGUUGAUUUGUUGGUUUGUUUGUUGUGGGGAAUGUCGCUCUGUCCAUACAGCUUAGAACUGUCUAGCUAGGUCGCACACAUGCCACGUGGGUUGUCAGCCAUAGUGUCAGCUGAAUUGUAACAGUAAGAGCUUUAUUCCUGAUGAUGCUAUUACCAAGAAUGACUUGUCUCUUAGAGCAAAGAAUUUAGUUUUGCAAAGAUGGCAACUAGAUGGCUGAUAGCCAGAGCAAGUACCUGUGGAAAAUUUAAUAUUGCUGGACGAUAAACUUGAGCUCCCUGCAGUGUUAUUUUUGUAAUAAAAAUAUGUAGCCUACCUGAAAUGCCUACCCUAUGAUGCAGGACACAGAGAAGGCUCUAAGUCGGUGUUAAUUAUGACUGUUUUUCUGACUCAUUAAAAACCCCUGUUUGUGUUACACGUGA